ensembl:lncRNA
GGUUUAGACAUCAGGGUGAUCGUGGCUCAAAGAAUUGGCAGUUCGUCCUGUAACCGGAAGAUUGCCGGUUCGAGCCCCGGCUCGGACAGUCUCGGUCGUUGUGUCCUUGGGCAAGACACUUCACCUACCGCCUACUGGUGUUGGCCAGAAGGGCCGAUGGCGCGAUAUGGCCGCCUCGCUUCUGUCAGCCUGCCCCAGGGCAGCUGUGGCUACAACUGUAGCUGCCUCCACCAGUGUGUGAGAGUGAAUGAAUAGUGGAACUGUACAGCGCUUUGAGGGCCCCGAAAAGCGCUAUAUAAAAUGCAGUCCAUUAUUAUUAUACUAUUUCACUGCUGAAGCUGAGCAUAUUAACAUGGACGUCUCUGUAGAUUGAGCAUGUAAACCAUAGUUAAAGCAAAAAAAUAAACUAAAAACAAUGAAAAUCUAAUUGCAAUAAUUAACCCCACCAAAAAACAUUUACAUGUAAGCAAAAAUCUGAACACAACAGAAUAAAAAAUGAUUAAGCUCACGGCACAUCACCAUACAUUACAUAAUAUUUGUAAUGCAAGAAUAAAAACAUGACGGUGCGACACUCUGAAUUACUUGCACUCAUAAACACAGACUGCAGCUGCACUGAGAUUAUUAAUAUAGAUAUAAUCUGUUGAAGGAUCGCUGAAGCUCCCGUGUCCCCUUCGAGGCUAAGCUAACUGUGGAGAGCAUUAACAGGGAUUCAAAUGAUCCUGUGAGGGACACGCUAUCGCUUUCAAACCAAUUGGGACAGGUGCCAAAUCACCAGCAGUGAAGGUGCACUUUUCUCCCGUCCUAAUGGCCAUAAAGUGAAUAUACAUCUCCUAACCAUCAUGACCACUAAAUCUUAAAAAAAAAAAAAAAUCCCCUUCUCCAUCAUGGCACUAACCCACAGUGGAGAUGAUAUAACGUGAUCGUAAAAAUGUGGUCCGUGGAGAGGUGGAAACUCUCACCUUUUUUCCCCCCCCUCAUCACUGAUAGUUUGUUUCCCCCAGGAGGUCUCCCAGCCCCGCCUCGCCUGCUUGGCUCCCAGCAUGCAGCGGGGCUCGAUGAGCGUAUCACCGUGGUUCAUAUCAGUCAUUGUAAUGGUUUCUGUCCUCACUUGGAGCCCUGUGGCCACCGAUGAAUAGGAAAGAAGUAAUUUAUUUACACUGCUUCCAUUAUC